rnacentral:rRNA from 1 species
UACGUAGGCAGCGAGCGUUGUUCGGAGUUACUGGGCGUAAAGCGUGCGUAGGCGGUAGUGCAAGUCUGUUGUGAAAUCUCCCGGCUCAACCGGGAGGGUGCGGCGGAAACUGUGCUGCUGGAGUAGGGGAGAGGCAGGCGGAAUUCCUGGUGUAGCGGUGAAAUGCGUAGAUAUCAGGAGGAACACCCGUGGUGUAGACGGCCUGCUGGACCGUGACUGACGCUGAGGCACGAAAGCGUGGGGAGCAAACGGG